UUCUCUCCAUGGCUGCAUCGUCACCCGUAAUCUUCAGUCCAGUGAUCAAUGUAAACUCAAAUAUCGAGAAACUGACGACCUUGCCCCCGAGGUUGAACUGGAGGGAAUCGCCGUCGACUGGCCUCAGAAGCCGACAUAGAAGUGCAUCAAUGAUCUGUCCUGAGUACUGCACCUCUCGCAACUGGUACAGUGGCCACAAGAAGGACUGUCGUAGAAUAUCUCCGUACUGAUCAUC
rnacentral:lncRNA from 1 species